rnacentral:rRNA from 1 species
AACGAACGCUGGCGGCAUGCCUAACACAUGCAAGUCGAACGAGACCUUCGGGUCUAGUGGCGCACGGGUGCGUAACGCGUGGGAACCUGCCCUUAGGUUCGGAAUAACUCCCCGAAAGGGGUGCUAAUACCGGAUCAUGUCUUCGGACCAAAGAUUUAUCGCCUUUGGAUGGGCCCGCGUUGGAUUAGCUAGUUGGUAGGGUAAAAGCCUACCAAGGCGACGAUGCAUAGCUGGUCUGAGAGGAUGAUCAGCCACACUGGGACUGAGACACGGCCCAGACUCCUACGGGAGGGAGCAGUGGGGAAUAUUGGACAACGGGCGAAAGCAUGAUCCAGCAAUGCCGCGUGAGUGAUGAAGGCCUUAGGGUUGUAAAGCUCUUUUACCCGGGAUGAUAAUGACAGUACCGGGAGAAUAAGCUCCGGCUAACUCCGUG